rnacentral:tRNA from 1 species
GACCACUUAGCUUAGUGGUUAGAUCAUCACAUUUGUAAUGUGAGGUUCAUCGGUUCAAUUCCGAUAGUCGGCU